rnacentral:rRNA from 1 species
AUGGCCGCGCCGCAGCAGGUCCGCGCCGUGCCCCUGGCGCGCGCGCUCCGCCUCCGCACGCGCGCCUCCGCCGCCGCCCCGCCGGAGACGUCCCGCCGCGCGCUCCUAGGCCUCACGGAGCCCGAGCUCCGCCAGCUCGCCGUCGACCUCGGCCAGCAAAGCUACCGGGGCAAGCAGCUGCACGACCUCGUCUACAAGAACAGGGCCAAGCAGGUCGAGGAGUUCGCCUAUGUGCCGAAGGUGUUCCGGGAGGCGCUGGUUGGCGCGGGAUGGAAAGUCGGCCGGUCGCCGGUGCAUCACGCCGUCACGGCCACCGAUGGCACCACCAAGAUACUUCUCAAGCUGGAGGACAACAGACUGGUGGAGACGGUGGGGAUCCCUGUUGACGACAGGGGCACGCCUAGGCUAACCGCCUGUGUUUCGUCGCAGGUUGGCUGCCCCUUGCGUUGCUCGUUCUGUGCCACUGGGAAGGGAGGGUUUGCGAGGAACCUUAAGGGGCACGAGAUUGUUGAGCAGGUCUUGGCCAUAGAGGAGUCGUUCAAACACAGGGUGACAAAUGUAGUGUUCAUGGGGAUGGGUGAGCCCAUGCUGAAUCUCAAAGCAGUUCUGGAGGCUCACCAAUGCUUGAAUAAGGAACUAAAGAUUGGGCAAAGGAUGAUGACAAUCUCAACAGUAGGUGUUCCCAACACGAUAAGUAAGCUAGCAUCUCACAAGCUUCAGUCGACACUGGCAGUCAGCCUGCAUGCCCCAAAUCAGAGGUUGCGUGAAACAAUUGUUCCAAGUGCAAAGGCAUAUCCUCUGGAAGCACUAAUGGAUGACUGCAAGAAUUAUUUUCUCGAAACUGGACGCAGGGUCUCCUUCGAGUACACCCUACUAGCUGGGAUUAAUGAUGAAAAGGCACACGCUGAAGAACUUGCAGCGCUGCUGCAUGCAUGUGGAGGUGGUUAUCACGUGAACCUGAUUCCCUAUAACCCGGUAGAAGGCUCUGAGUACAAGAGGCCUUACAGAAAAGCGAUUCAAGCGUUUGUUGAUGCGCUGGAAUCUCGGAAGAUCACAGUCAGCGUUCGACAGACCCGUGGGCUUGACGCUAAUGCGGCUUGUGGGCAGCUCAGGAAUGAGUUCCAGAAGAAUCCUCUGCUUGAAUCGUCACCACCCUCUGAGCCCAACCAACUGCUGGAGUCGUCUACGCCCUCAGAGUCCAGCCUCGUUCCUGCUUAG